AUUGAACGCUGGCGGCAGGCCUAACACAUGCAAGUCAACGAGUGGCGGACGGGUGAGUUAUUUCUGGGAAACUUCCCGAUUGAGGGGGAUAACUACUGGAAACGGUAGCUAAUACCGCCUACCCUCGGAUGUGCCCCGAUGGGGUUAGCUAGGAGGUGGGGUAACGGCUCACCUAGGCGACGAUCCCUAGCUGGUCUGAGAGGAUGACCAGCCACACUGGAACUGAGACACGGUCCAGACGCCUACGGGAGGCAGCAGUGGGGAAUAUUGCACAAUGGGCGCAAGCCUGAUGCAGCCAUGCCGCGUGUAUGAAGAAGGCCUCCGGGUUGUAAAGUACUUUCAGCGAGGAGGCGUUACUCGCAGAAGAAGCACCGGCUAACUCCGUGCCAGCAGCCGCGGUAAUAC
rnacentral:rRNA from 1 species